UUACCAGCUCUCCCCAUUCUCAUCCCCCAGAGCCAUUCAUGGCCACGGUCUUUGUCCACACCCCUGGCCCACCUCUGCUCCUGUUGGUUUGACACAGCACCAGCUUCUACCAGCAGCUCAUCAGCAUGGCCAGGCCAUGGAGAUCUGGGAGGUAACAAAGAGGCAUGGGGGCAGUGCACAGCCUGGGGGCAUGGGGAGCACAGGCCUGCAGCUGGGCUCUGGGAACAGGCUUUGCCUUCCCUGGAGGAAAUACAGCCACAUCAGGGCCAAUCUCCCAGUUAAGUAGAAGAGCAGAGCAGAGCGGUAAAUCUGUGCCAUGCAGGGAAAGGCGUGCUGGGCAUGAGCGGCACCGAGGGACACUCCUGUCAGGGACAGUGGCUGAAGCCCAUGGCCAGAUGGCACCUCCACCUGCAACGGGGGUAGAAAAGAGGGAUCAGGUCACCCACACUGCCCUGAUUGUCAAGGUGCUGCUGCAGACACGAGGGACCCCUUCCUGCAGUCAGCGGGAUGGCCUCACUGCCACACAGAUGCCAAUAGAACUCAAGCCGUAGACCAGCCCACCCCAAGCAGGAACCUCAGGGCCCUCCCCAAAACCUCAUUGCCAGGCCCCUUGGCUGCCAGGACCACUAGCAUCAGCAGAGCUGCCCAGGCGGAGCCAUCCUGAGGAGAAGUGUGCAGCCACAUCUCUCACAGUCCCUUUCUCCUGCCACUGCUCCCAGUACUGCAUGCUCAGGGCCUCGCUGCUGGCUCCAUGCAACCCUGUUGCUGCUGCCUCUUCCUUCUCUGCGUCUUCCACUUCCCGGGGACAUGGGCAGACCUGGAGGGGUCCUUCACUGUGCGGCUGCUCCAGACUUCCUUUUUCCAAAAUGCAUCCUUUGUGGAUACAGAGGGGCUGGGACUGCUGCAAGACAUAGAGCUUGGUUCUCUUGAUAAGCGCACCUGGUCCAUACGCUUCCACCAGCCCUGGGUGCACCCAGCCCUGCUCCGCAGUGACUGGGACACCAUUCAGAACAUGAUCAGGAUAUAUUUGAAAAAGUUCAUUCACCUUAUCAGAGAAGGUGCAGCUGAGAGGAAUGUGCCCUACCCUUUUGUGACACAGUGCAUGGCGGGCUGUGAGGUUUACCCCAACAGGACCUCCCAAGCCUUCGCCUAUGUGGCCUACAAUGGCCAGGACUUCCUCAGCCUGGACAGAAACAAUGACACCUGGGUCGUCUACCAAGACAACAACUUCACACGGUACGUCCAGGCUGUCCUCCAGAACUAUACCGCCUUCAGUGAGCUGGUGGAAGUCCUCUUCAACGAGACCUGCGUUGACGACAUGGAAGUCUUAGUGCACUAUGGGAAGGCAGCUCUGGAGAGACAAGAGACUCCCCUGGCCACAGUCUUCGCCCGCACGCCCAACCCAGCCCAGCUCCUGCUGGUUUGCCGUGUCACCGGCUUCUACCCACGGUCCAUCAGUGUGGCAUGGCUGCGGGAUGGCAAGGAGGUGCCACCAGGCCCGGCUCUCAACACCACUGCCAUCCUGCCCAAUGCUGACCUCACCUACCAGCUCCGCAGCGUCCUGGCUGUGUUUCCCCACGACGGGCACAGCUACGCCUGCCGUGUGCGUCACCGCAGCCUGGGCACCCGCAGCCUCCUCAUCCCGUGGGUGUCUGCUUGUGUUUCCCAGGGAAUGCAGAGAUUGUCCUGAUUGCAGGGCUCGGGGCUGGGCUGCUGGCAGCCUUGGCGGUGGCAGCUGUCAUAGCACAUUGCAUGUGGAGAUGCAGAAAACACCAGCAGAUGGAGGUAUCAGAGUCCAGGAACUCCAUCCUGAGCAAAGAAGCUUAGCCCUGAAGGGAGCCAGCAGCCCCUGCCUCCUUCCACCACACUCCCACGGACAAAAACUCUACUUUCUAGUGCUUUGACAACUUUGGGGGCACUUCCAAGUGUAAGAUCAACUUGGCUCAAAGGCACAGGGGGAAGGCCUGGGCGGACUUCUUACCCAAUUCAAUUUGCUAAGCAGAGAAGAAUACGAAUCUAAGACCUUCUCACUCAUUAUGCACAAUCAUCUCUUACCUUGUGGCACUGCCCAUGCACCCACUGGGGCUCUUUAGGGCAUUCAUUGCCCAGUGACAAUUUCUCCCUGUUCUGGUUCAAUAACACAUUUAUCAGUAAUCAGUAAGGUGUGCCCUUCUACUAUUGCUUUCUAGUAUUUCCUUUUCCUGGAAGCUGCCCUUAUUAACCGUAUUCCAGAAGUAUUUGUGCUGAGACUGAAAUGUUCUACACAGACUAACAGCACCUGCUGCAAAUGGUUUUACAAAGUGCUGGGGAAAACUGAAACUCUGAUGUCAUCCAUGGGAGCUGCAGAUGUGUGUAAAAUGAAAAUUAAAACAU